rnacentral:rRNA from 1 species
GAUGAACGCUGGCGGCGUGCCUAAUACAUGCAAGUCGAGCGAACAGACGAGGAGCUUGCUCCUCUGACGUUAGCGGCGGACGGGUGAGUAACACGUGGAUAACCUACCUAUAAGACUGGGAUAACUUCGGGAAACCGGUGCUAAUACCGGAUAAUAUGUUUAACCGUAAGGUUCAACAGUGAAAGAUGCUAUUGCUUUAAUUUAUAGAGAGAUCCCCUCGGCAUAAGUUAGUGGGUAAGGUAACGGCUUACCAAGGCAAGGAUCCGUGGCCAACCUGAGAGGGUGAUCGGCCAAACUGGAACUGGAACCCGGCCCAAACUCCAACGGGAGGCAGCAGUAGGGAAUCUUCGGCAAUGGGCAAAAUCCUGACGGGGCAACGCCGCGUGAGUGAGGAAGGUCUUCGGAUCGUAAACCUCUGUUAUUAGGGAAGAACAAAUGUGUAAGUAACUAUGCACGUCUUGACGGUACCUAAUCAGAAAGCCACGGCUAACUACGUG